AUGCAAACCGGGGCGUCACGCCGUGCUCCAAAAAGAAAGAGGCGGGGGUCAACUAUACAAGAAGAAGAAGAGUUUGUUGAGGAUGAGUCAGAAGAAGAUGAGGAAAUGGAAGCAGCGAUAGAUGUUGACGAUGAUGGGGACACAAACGCGGAUGAAUCAGAGGAGGAAGACAAGGAUGAGGAUGACAAUGAAGAAGAUGCAGAGGAGGAGGAGGAAGAGGAGGAGGAGGAGGAGGAGGAGGACAAACAAGAAGAGGACAAAGGAGAGGAGGAGGAGGAAGAAGAAGAUAGUGAGGCAGAGGAGGAGGAAGAAGAAGGUGAGGCCGAAGAGGGGGACGGGGACAAAGGUGCAACAGUUGAUGGCAGUGAGAGGGGAGAAGACAAAGGCGCAGCAGCUGAUGUCAGUGAGAGGGAAGAAGAGGACGAUGAAGAAGACGAGGACGGUUAUGGUGAUGAUGUUGGGGGAUCCAAUGGAGGCAGCGGUAGCAGCGAUGAUGAUGAUGAUGAUGACAACGCCCCUGGUUCUGGUGGUACAGGCGGCAACACAUCCAGGAGGACUAGCACUUCUGCCACCCCUGCCAGCAGCAACAAUUCAUUGAGUAGCAGGAGCACACUACAGAUGUUAAUCAACAAAACUUGCUGGAAAGACAAGGAUUUGCCUAAGUCAAAGAAAAAUGACGAAGUAGAGUCUCAGGGCAGCAUUGAUAUGUUCAAGCUCUGCAACUUGAAGCCAGCUUUGCCAACCACCUUUCCCGUGCCAGAUUUUAGCGACCAAGAUAUGUGUGAGAAGAUCAACUUUGCCAUUGACAAGAGCCUGUUCUUAUCAAGUGUUGCUGAAAAGAAUCAAAUUGACAUGGAGGAAGCAGAAAAGGGUCUUGACUGGGUUCAUUCAAAGGAAAAAUACAAGGAAUAUCUGAAGCAACUUACAGACCUAAGCUCCGGCAAGAGCAAGGCAGCAUGCAUGGCAAACCCUCACGUGGUCCAGAAGCGUAAAUCAGUUUCAAUGAAGAAGAAUCUGCAGUUGCCUGAAACCAAGGAGAAGAUAGUGAGUGCAGAUGCUGAAGUAAAUAUGGUCAAGGAAGCUGUGCUUCAAACUGAUAUGCCAACUGUAGUGAGCAGAGAGCCAACCACCAUCACAGGAGUUCAACAGAUCAAGGGGAAGACUCCCCUUUCAAUAGUCCCACCAAAACCACCUAAGCAGCAAAAGAUUGUCAAGUUUGCCAGGGGCACAAAGGUGGAACAGGCCACAAAAGGUUUGGGGUUCAGAGACGAGAGAGAACUGUGA
rnacentral:rRNA from 1 species